CGGAGGAUCCAAGCGUUAUCCGGAAUCAUUGGGUUUAAAGGGUCCGUAGGCGGUUUUAUAAGUCAGUGGUGAAAUCCGGCAGCUUAACUGUCGAACUGCCAUUGAUACUGUAGGACUUGAAUUAUUGUGAAGUAACUAGAAUAUGUAGUGUAGCGGUGAAAUGCUUAGAUAUUACAUGGAAUACCCAUUGCGAAGGCAGGUUACUAACAAUAUAUUGACGCUGAUGGACGAAAGCGUGGGAGCGAACAGGAUU
rnacentral:rRNA from 1 species